GACUUCUGGGAAAUUCUCCUGAGGAGUGGGGUCUUAAGAGCUGAGAUACAGAAGGGAAUGGAAGGAGGAGCUGUUUCUCAGGGCCAUUUAAGACAGCUGUGGAGAUUUCUGUCACUGACAGAAAUCCUAAUACCAAGGGUUCCUGUUUAAACAUCGCUGGAUCCUGUCAAGAAACCUAAUUUCUUCAAAGACUUUCAUUUCUAUGAACUAUUGAGAUACGGGACUCUAAUUGGAAGAGAGGAAUAAGAAAGAACAUUUGAAAGAAGACAAUGCAAAGCAAGGAACUCACAGGAGGAACUAAAGGAAAAAGAGGAGUCCAAAAGGAACCUUAGGACAAAAUAAGAGGAGGACUUGAGCUGAAGCAGACAGCAAAUGUGAAUCCCAAAGGGAAUCUCACCAGAAUCCAACUAGGAAGCUGAAAUCCAAAGAACCAGGAGAUGCUGAAGAAUCCACCAAGAACCUUCAAUGUACACAAGGCUAAGACCACCAAGAACAUCACCAGAACUCAUGCUGAAGUGAGUGUCCCACGGAAGUGCCAAUGAUCAAAGAGGGUCUCCUCACUGAAGAACAAAGGAAGGAAUCACUCCACCAUCACAGCAGGCCAACACAGGAUCCAGGGAAAGUUUCCUCCUCCAGUCUGGUUCACCAAUGCAGAGAAACUCAUUGAAUCCUCCAUAAAACCUUUUUAAAGCAGUUUUCUUGAUGUCACUUCCUGUCACUCCCCCACUUCACAGAAACCAAUUGCAGUCUUUUGAUUUGCCUAGCACUUCCCAAGGGGCAUGCAGUAACCUUUGGAGGUGUGAGCUUACUCUAGUAAUUUGCAAACUCUCUUACUUAGUGUCAAAUAGGGGUACUUGAAUUUCUUGAUUUGUUUAGCUAAAAAUAAACAAGGAGGUUCCUUUUACUCUUGUUCUCCUCCUUCCAAUUCUAAUAUAAUACAGUAAGGCAGUCUAGACACCAGUCCAAAGGGUUGUGCUCUCUCUGCUCAUUUUGACCUGAUGCCUAUAAGGCAGAAUGAAAGAGAAGUUGGUAUUUUCUGUCUCAUAGUUCAACUGUCCCACCCCCUCAAUUAGGUUAAUAUUAUGAAACUU